rnacentral:rRNA from 1 species
AUUGAACGCUGGCGGCAGGCCUAACACAUGCAAGUCGCGGAUGAAGGGAGCUUGCUCCUGGAUUCAGCGGCGGACGGGUGAGUAAUGCCUAGGAAUCUGCCUGGUAGUGGGGGAUAACGUCCGGAAACGGGCGCUAAUACCGCAUACGUCCUGAGGGAGAAAGUGGGGGAUCUUCGGACCUCACGCUAUCAGAUGAGCCUAGGUCGGAUUAGCUAGUUGGUGGGGUAAAGGCCUACCAAGGCGACGAUCCGUAACUGGUCUGAGAGGAUGAUCAGUCACACUGGAACUGAGACACGGUCCAGACUCCUACGGGAGGCAGCAGUGGGGAAUAUUGGACAAUGGGCGAAAGCCUGAUCCAGCCAUGCCGCGUGUGUGAAGAAGGUCUUCGGAUUGUAAAGCACUUUAAGUUGGGAGGAAGGGCAGUAAGUUAAUACCUUGCUGUUUUGACGUUACCAACAGAAUAAGCACCGGCUAACUUCGUG